rnacentral:rRNA from 1 species
AUUGAACGCUGGCGGCAGGCCUAACACAUGCAAGUCGAGCGGAUGAAGGGAGCUUGCUCCUGGAUUCAGCGGCGGACGGGGGAGUAAUGCCUAGGAAUCUGCCUGGUAGUGGGGGAUAACGUCCGGAAACGGGCGCUAAUACCGCAUACGUCCUGAGGGAGAAAGUGGGGGAUCUUCGGAACUCACGCUAUCAGAGGAGCCUAGGCCGGAUUAGCUAGUUGGUGGGGUAAAGGCCUACCAAGGGGACGAUCCGUAACUGGUCUGAGGGGAUGAUCAGUCACACUGGAACUGGGACACCGUCCAGACUCCUACGGGAGGCCGCAGUGGGGAAUAUUGGACAAUGGGCGAAAGCAUGAUCCAGCCAUGCCGCGUGUGUGAAGAAGGUCUUCGGAUUGUAAAGCACUUUAAGUUGUGAGGAAGGGCAGUAAGUUAUUACCUUGCUGUUUUGACGUUACCAACAGAAUAAGCACCGGCUAACUUCGUG